rnacentral:rRNA from 1 species
AACGAACGCUGGCGGCAUGCCUAACACAUGCAAGUCGAACGAGACCUUCGGGUCUAGUGGCGCACGGGUGCGUAACGCGUGGGAACCUGCCCUUAGGUUCGGAAUAACUCCCCGAAAGGGGUGCUAAUACCGGAUAAUGUCUUCGGACCAAAGAUUUAUCGCCUUUGGAUGGGCCCGCGUUGGAUUAGCUAGUUGGUAGGGUAAAAGCCUACCAAGGCGACGAUCCAUAGCUGGUCUGAGAGGAUGAUCAGCCACACUGGGACUGAGACACGGCCCAGAAUCCUACGGGAGGCAGCAGUGGGGAAUAUUGGACAAUGGGCGAAAGCCUGAUCCAGCAAUGCCGCGUGAGUGAUGAAGGCCUUAGGGCUGUAAAGCUCUUUUACCCGGGAUGAUAAUGACAGUACCGGGAGAAUAAGCUCCGGCUAACUCCGUG